rnacentral:rRNA from 1 species
AUGCAAGUCGAACGAGAACCGGGUAGCAAUACCCGGGGAAAGUGGCGAAAGGGGCAGUAAUGCGUGGGUAACCUACCCUGGGGUUGGGCAUAGCCGGUCUAACGACCGGGUAAUUCCCAGCGACGUCAUUCGGGGGCAUCUCCGGUUGACCAAAGAUUUAUCGCCCCGGGAGGGGCCCACGUGAUAUUAGCUUGUUGGUGAGGUAACGGCUCACCAAGGCGAAGAUGUCUAGCGGGUGUGAGAGCACGACCCGCGCCACUGGCACUGAGACACUGGCCAGACUCCUACGGGAGGCUGCAGUCGAGGAUCUUCGGCAAUGGGCGCAAGCCUGACCGAGCGACGCCGCGUGUGCGAUGAAGGCCUUCGGGUUGUAAAGCACUGUCGAGGGGGAGGAAGCCGAAAGGUUGACCUAUCCCUGUAGGAAGCACGGGCUAAAUUCGUGCCAGCAGCCGCGGUAAGACGAACCGUGCAAACGUUGUUCGGAAUCACUGGGCUUAAAGGGCGCGUAGGCGGGCCAGCCAGUCUGUGGUGAAAGCCUCCAGCUUAACUGGGGAAGUGCCGUGGAUACUGCUGGCCUCCAGGAGGGUAGGGGCAUCUGGAACGGUCGGUGGAGCGGUGAAAUGCGUUGAUAUCGACCGGAACUCCGGUGGCGAAAGCGAGGUGCUGGGCCCUUUCUGACGCUGAGUGCGCGAAAGCCAGGGGAGCAAACGGGAUUAGAUACCCCGGUAGUCCUGGCCCUAAACGUUGAGGACUAGGUAGUGGACUUAACAUGGGUUCACUGUCGGAACAAAAGUGCU